ensembl:lncRNA
CAUCUGGGCUGAGGUACAUCUUGUGAUUCAAGAGCCAAGGGAGCACACCAAAGAAAGAAAGCCUGUUUUGGGACAAGAAUUAGACCAAGAAAUAACAGUGCAUCUCCAAUUAAUAGUGAGUGGCCAGAAUGUGGAGCUGACGAUCCAUUGUGACAAAACCUCAGAAGAAAAUUUUGAAUUUGUGAAUGGCUUUUAGCAGAAAUGAGGCAGAGGUAAGUGAUGUUCCCAUGUGGAAAGCCUUCUGUCAGCUUAAUUGGAAAUGUUUUAAGGGAUUUGCAGGUAGAGGGAUCUGUACCUGAGAUCUGGCUCCAGUUCUCACAUCAGGGGGACCUGGGCAAUACUCACUCCACCUUGUUUUGUACAUCAGCAGCAAGUGGAAAUGCAACGCUUUCCUCACAAGUUGAAUGCAUUUGAAAUAAUAAUCAUCCCACCACGUGUGAAUUCAGUGACAUCAGAGGGUUCCAACCUGAUAACUCCUUUGCUCUAAUAAGUAUGAGGAAGUAUUACUUGUAUACGUAUUUAGUCUCUAUAGAAAUCAGAACAAUUCUUGGUUCAGGGAAGAAAGCCUAAGCCAUUGAUUCCAUCUUUCUAAGAGUAAAAUAUUCUCUAUAUGCAUAUAUUGUGGGUCUAAAAGCCAAAAGUCUUCAGAGGGAAUGCUAAGUAUUAAAGAGUGGAUUCCAGGAAAGCCAUUCAAAUGAAGACUCAAGUCUUGUACUUCUCUUGAUAUCCUAAAGGAUAGUCUAUGUCACCGGAGUAGUUUCACGUCAUAUGGAAGAAUGCUGCACAUGACCGUGCACUUUGCUCCUGAUGAUCCAGGAGUGCAGUCCUCUGUACAGGCAAAUGAUGCUGCAAUGAAUACUUCUCUGGUUCACUGAUCGCUCUGCAUGAACCAGUGAAACACAAACAUUUAAACCUGGCUAAAAAGUCUCUAGCCCCCUGGUCUGCCAGAACCAUCAGAAUGGCAGUACCACUGAGCCCUUCGUCCGAUCCAGCCAAUAAAAAUAAUAUGGUUGUGUGUAACCAGGCAUCGCGUUGCCGACUAGCAGAGAACCAGCGGGAAAUGCAAGAUCUGAAAGAGAUAGUUCAUCAUUUCAGCUUCCUCCUCCACCAAGAGGAAAACAAUUAUGGUGAGGGCCAAGAGGUGAUUCAAUCCAGGCUAAGGGAGAAGCCAGCACUUGGAACUCCACAGCUUGAGAAGCUGGCACCUGCUGAGUUCAAGAAAUGCCAUGUAAAUAAGGCACGCACCCGCAAGCGGCGCUGGCUACGUAAGAAGUCAAGAAAACAGACACAGAUUUGUCAUCUCAGCCUACAUCCCAGAGCCCUCCUCACCCAGCAUGACCCUGACAGCCACCACACAUGGGGCUUGCUGGAGCCACUGGUUGUUCACGUCAGGCUGGAAAAGCAUCUUGUCUACAAAUGUAGCCUGGCAAAAGAAAUGACGCAAAUGAAGGGUGGUUGCUGGGACUUAAUCUGCCCCAGCAGGAUCAGUGGGUGCUUUCCACCUCAAGUAGAGCCUGAGUUGGUACCAGGGCUGAUCAUGGGUGAAUAUUGUUGGUGCAUCAUCAUGAAAGCCACGCUGGUUAUGCAGCAGCAUUAUCCUGGUGGUGGCUGGACGAUAGUGCUGGAAGAGUACUCGUGGUGCACAAGGUUUGGAGUCUAUGGGAAUUCCCUUGAGGACAGAGUGCCACAUGAAGCCAAACCUGUAUUGUGUGAAAGCCGAUCUCUAGCUGAAGGGCAUCGCAUCAUGGCAUGCACACACCUUGCAGAUGCACCUUACAUGUGGCAUGCCUCCUGGGGGGACAAGCUGGAAAUACUGUUCCAGGCCUGGGCCAGGGUCCAGCAGCCCUUAGCCCAGCAGUCCAUCCACUGGAUAGAGGCCAUUGAGGGGUAUGAUACCUCCUCCCAAAAGGAUGAAGUGGUAUCUGCAGACAGAGCUGAGGUUAUCCCCAGGGUGUGUGGAGAUCCACCCCCACUGGAAGGGCCAGAUACCAUCGUGCCCAUCCUCAAGGAAGAUGGAUCCUACCUGCUCUGUGGAUUUUGGGCUGAUGAGCCUGAAGCACCAGCCCAGGCCUGGUCUGAGACUGUGAAAUGUACAAUCCAGCAGCCCAUCUGCUGUGCUGAGGCCAUUGUGGUGGAAGACCUUUCCUACAAAAAGGAGGAAGGGGAGGUGGCAACUGCAGUCCAGGCUGAGCUUAUCCCCAGGGUGUGUGGAGAUCCACCCCCACUGGAAAGGCCAGAUGUCAUCCUGCCUAUCCUGAAGGAUGACGGGUCCUACAUGCUCUGUGGAUAUUGGGCUGAUGGGUCUGGAACACCAGCGCAGGUUUCUGCUGAGCCUUGGCACCUUACAACCCAGCAGCCCAUCUGCUGUGCUGAGGCCAUUGUGGUGGAAGAUGCCUCAAGCCAAAAGGAGGAAGGAGAGGUGGCAUCUCCAGACCUGGCCGAGGCAAACCCCAGGGUGUGUGGAGAUCCACCCCCACUGGAAGGGCCAGAUGUCAUCGUGCCUAUCCUCAAGGAUGAUGGGUCCUACAUGCUCUGUGGAUUUUGGGCAGAUGAUGAUGCUGAAGCUCCAAUCUGGGCCUGUGCUGGGGCCUGGCACCCUACAAUCCAGCAGCCCAUCUGCUGUGCUGAGGCCAUUGUGGUGGAAAACCCCUACCACCAAAAGGAGGAAGUGGAGUUGGCAUCUACAGACCAGGCGGAGGCUAUCCCCAGGGUGGGUGAAGAUCCACCUCCACUGGAAGGGCCAGAUGCCAUCGUGCCUGUCCUCAAGGAUGACGGGUCCUACGUGCUCUGUGCAUAUUGGGCAGAUGAACCUGAAGCACCAGACCAGGCCUGGGCUAGGGCCUGGCACUUUACAACCCGGCAACCCCUCUGCUGUGCUGAGGCCAUUGUGGUGGAAGACUCCUCAAACAAAAAGGAGAAAGUCAAGGGGGCAUCCUCAGAUCAGGCUGAGGCUAUGUCCAGGGUGGGUGAAGAUCCACCCCCACUGGAAGGGCCAGAUGUCAUCGUGCCUAUCCUCAAGGAUGAUGGGUCCUACAUGCUCUGUGGAUUUUGGGCUGAUGAGUCUGAAGCACCAGUCCAGGCCUGUGCUGAGCUCUGGCACCUUGCAACCCAGAAGCCCAUUUGCUGUGCUGAAGCCAUUGCAGGUGAGUCCUUUGAUGUGACUCUAGCUGCAGACCUGAUAAACCUCCUGAGUGCACCUGGUGACCCUGUUAUGCUUUCUUGAACACUGCUGGGAAAGAUUGUGAUGGGGUAGGCUGAACCAUGGGGCAGAUCUAGAUUGACAGAGACAGAACCUGGGGUAGAGUUUGCUGCACUAAUUUAGGCAUGUGUUAUUUAACCAGAGAUCCCCAUGUUAUGCCCCAUGCUCAGCAGUGAAUCCGACCAUGUCACUGUGCCCAAAGCAGGUGUGAUGGCAUGGCCCGGGCUUUGGAGCCUGUGCUCAUUCAUGUGACAGGGUUUUCUUCCAGGCCUCCACUUGAAGAGUGGGAUGCCUUUUAUCAGUGCAGGCUUCCUUGUGAAACCUCUGCCCCAUUUGGUUACCAAGACACUGCAUGCCUGCCAGGACAGCUAUUCUGGCUACUUUCUCAGCCUGAGAUCUCCACCAGAUCCCGCUGAGUAGGGUCACACUCUCUCACGUUCCCACUGUGGUGAUGUCAUUCCAGAUCAGGAAUCCUCAGCCAUGUAUUGAGAGUUCCAUCCUGAAGUAGUCAGUACUGGCCUCGUGUCUAUCUGGAUGCUCUAAGGGGCACAGUGUCUGCCUGGCACCGAAAGACGUCAGUGCUGUGAGCCCCUGUUGGAUUCACAUGUUCAUAUUGCAGCAGAGUGUGUGUACCUGGGAAUCUCCCACUUUGGAUGUUGCAUGGGAUGGUCCUCCCAUUGUGUGUUUGGUCUCUUAGAACAUAUCUGACUCACAGGCCAAGGACACAUAUGGUUGAAAAUAGCUGACCACUUGUGGAAGAUCAGGAUGCCUGUUUUGUGUUAUGAAAAACUUCCCAGGUAGGGAGGGAGGGCUACAUUGUUAGACAGAGGACUUGCCAUUCCAGGUUUGUCCUCCUGUGAGUGAGGCUGUGGCUAACACAGGCAGUUCCACAACUUGACAGCAUAGGUGUCUUCAGAAGCUGUGUGACAGUGGGUGGUGCCUUACUUUAUGCCAUCUCAUGUACAUGUCAUCCCAUUGACCACAUCCUGUCCGAUUUGCACUCUCUGCAGUGGAAGAGCCCUCC